rnacentral:rRNA from 1 species
UGGGGAAUUUUGGACAAUGGGCGCAAGCCUGAUCCAGCCAUGCCGCGUGAGUGAAGAAGGCCUUCGGGUUGUAAAGCUCUUUCAGACGGAAAGAAAUCGUGCAGGCUAAUACCCUGCAUGGAUGACGGUACCGUCAGAAGAAGCACCGGCUAACUACGUG